UACGGAGGGUGCAAGCGUUAUCCGGAUUUACUGGGUUUAAAGGGUGUGUAGGCGGACUUUUAAGUCAGCGGUGAAAUCUCCGGGCUCAACCCGGAAACUGCCAUUGAUACUAUUGGUCUUGAGUGUUGUUGAGGUGGGCGGAACGGGUCAUGUAGCGGUGAAAUGCAUAGAUAUGACCCGGAACACCGAUUGCGAAGGCAGCCCACUAAGCAAUGAUUGACGCUGAGGCACGAAAGCGUGGGGAUCAAACAGG
rnacentral:rRNA from 1 species